rnacentral:hammerhead_ribozyme from 1 species
AUCCAGCUGGCAAGUCCCAAAUAGGACGAAAUGCGCCUUAUCCUGGAU